CUACGGGAGGCAGCAGUCGAGAAUCUUCCGCAAUGGGCGCAAGCCUGACGGAGCAAUGCCGCGUGAGGGAUGACGGCCCUAGGGUUGUAAACCUCUGUCAGAAGGGACGAAGAACGUGACGGUACCUUCAGAGGAAGCCAUGGCUAACUACGUGCCAGCGAGCCGCGGUAAUACGUAGAUGGCGAGCGUUAUUCGGAUUUACUGGGCGUAAAGGGUCCGUAGGGGGUCUGCCAAGUCUGAUGUGAAAUCCUGCGGCUCAACCGCGGAACUGCAUUGGAAACUGGCGGACUAGAGUGUGGAGGGGUGAGCGGAAUUCCUGGUGUAGCGGUGGAAUGCGUAGAUAUCAGGAAGAACACCGAUGGCGAAGGCGGCUCACUGGCGCAUCACUGACCCUGAGGGACGAAAGCGUGGGUAGCAAACAGGAUUAGAUACCCUAGUAGUC
rnacentral:rRNA from 1 species